CAGCCGCGCGGUAAUACGGAGGAUCCAAGCGUUAUCCGGAUUUAUUGGGUUUAAAGGAUGCGUAGGCGGCUUAUUAAGUCAGGGGUGAAAGGCGGUAGCUUAACUAUCGGAGUGCCCUUGAUACUGAUGAGCUUGAAUGCAGCUGAGGUAGGCGGAAUGCGACAAGUAGCGGUGAAAUGCAUAGAUAUGUCACAGAGCACCGAUUGCGAAGGCAGCUUACUAAAGUGCGAUUGACGCUGAGGCACGAAAGCGUGGGGGUCAAACAGGAUUAGAUACCCGAGUAGUCCCUGUCUCUUAUACA
rnacentral:rRNA from 1 species